rnacentral:rRNA from 1 species
AUUAAAAACCAAUGCCCUUCGGGGGCUCUCUGGUGAUUCAUAAUAACUUCUCGAAUCGCACGGCCUUGCGCCGGCGAUGGUUCAUUCAAAUUUCUGCCCUAUCAACUUUCGACGGCUGGGUCUUGGCCAGCCGUGGUGACAACGGGUAACGGAGGGUUAGGGCUCGACCCCGGAGAAGGAGCCUGAGAAACGGCUACUACAUCCAAGGAAGGCAGCAGGCGCGCAAAUUACCCAAUCCCGACACGGGGAGGUAGUGACAAUAAAUACUGAUACAGGGCUCUUUCGGGUCUUGUAAUUGGAAUGAGUACAAUUUAAAUCCCUUAACGAGGAACAAUUGGAGGGCAAGUCUGGUGCCAGCAGCCGCGGUAAUUCCAGCUCCAAUAGCGUAUAUUAAAGUUGUUGAGGUUAAAAAGCUCGUAGUUGAACCUUGGGCCUAGCCGGCCGGUCCGCCUCACCGCGUGCACUGGCUCGGCUGGGUCUUUCCUUCUGGAGAACCGCAUGCCCUUCACUGGGUGUGCC